AAGGGUAUAGUUCAGUGGUAGAGUGUGUGCGUAACAUGCAUGAGGUCCUGAGUUGAAUCCUCAGUACCUCCA
rnacentral:tRNA from 1 species